rnacentral:tRNA from 1 species
GGGAUUGUGGCUCAGCGGUAGAGAGCUCAUCUAGCACAUGCGAGGCUCUGGGUUCAAUCCCCAGCACCA